GACGAACGCUGGCGGCGUGCCUAAUACAUGCAAGUCGAGCGAGCUUGCCUAGAUGAUUUUAGUGCUUGCACUAAAUGAAACUAGAUACAAGCGAGCGGCGGACGGGUGAGUAACACGUGGGUAACCUGCCCAAGAGACUGGGAUAACACCUGGAAACAGAUGCUAAUACCGGAUAACAACACUAGACGCAUGUCUAGAGUUUGAAAGAUGGUUCUGCUAUCACUCUUGGAUGGACCUGCGGUGCAUUAGCUAGUUGGUAAGGUAACGGCUUACCAAGGCAAUGAUGCAUAGCCGAGUUGAGAGACUGAUCGGCCACAUUGGGACUGAGACACGGCCCAAACUCCUACGGGAGGCAGCAGUAGGGAAUCUUCCACAAUGGACGAAAGUCUGAUGGAGCAACGCCGCGUGAGUGAAGAAGGGUUUCGGCUCGUAAAGCUCUGUUGGUAGUGAAGAAAGAUAGAGGUAGUAACUGGCCUUUAUUUGACGGUAAUUACUUAGAAAGUCACGGCUAACUACGUGCCAGCAGCCGCGGUAAUACGUAGGUGGCAAGCGUUGUCCGGAUUUAUUGGGCGUAAAGCGAGUGCAGGCGGUUCAAUAAGUCUGAUGUGAAAGCCUUCGGCUCAACCGGAGAAUUGCAUCAGAAACUGUUGAACUUGAGUGCAGAAGAGGAGAGUGGAACUCCAUGUGUAGCGGUGGAAUGCGUAGAUAUAUGGAAGAACACCAGUGGCGAAGGCGGCUCUCUGGUCUGCAACUGACGCUGAGGCUCGAAAGCAUGGGUAGCGAACAGGAUUAGAUACCCUGGUAGUCCAUGCCGUAAACGAUGAGUGCUAAGUGUUGGGAGGUUUCCGCCUCUCAGUGCUGCAGCUAACGCAUUAAGCACUCCGCCUGGGGAGUACGACCGCAAGGUUGAAACUCAAAGGAAUUGACGGGGGCCCGCACAAGCGGUGGAGCAUGUGGUUUAAUUCGAAGCAACGCGAAGAACCUUACCAGGUCUUGACAUCCAGUGCAAACCUAAGAGAUUAGGUGUUCCCUUCGGGGACGCUGAGACAGGUGGUGCAUGGCUGUCGUCAGCUCGUGUCGUGAGAUGUUGGGUUAAGUCCCGCAACGAGCGCAACCCUUGUCAUUAGUUGCCAUCAUUAAGUUGGGCACUCUAAUGAGACUGCCGGUGACAAACCGGAGGAAGGUGGGGAUGACGUCAAGUCAUCAUGCCCCUUAUGACCUGGGCUACACACGUGCUACAAUGGACGGUACAACGAGAAGCGAACCUGCGAAGGCAAGCGGAUCUCUUAAAGCCGUUCUCAGUUCGGACUGUAGGCUGCAACUCGCCUACACGAAGCUGGAAUCGCUAGUAAUCGCGGAUCAGCACGCCGCGGUGAAUACGUUCCCGGGCCUUGUACACACCGCCCGUCACACCAUGAGAGUCUGUAACACCCAAAGCCGGUGGGAUAACCUUUAUAGGAGUCAGCCGUCUAAGGUAGGACAGAUGAUUAGGGUGAAGUCGUAACAAGGUAGCCGUAGGAGAACCUGCGGCUGGAUCACCUCCUUUCUAAGGAAGGCGAAAGAUGAUGGAGAGUGCGAGAGCACUAAGAGAAGUCAUCGAGAAAGCCAAGCGGAAGCACACUGAGAAACUUUGUUUAGUUUUGAGGGUAUUACCUCAAACAACUUGAAUAACAAGCCAAGCAUAAUCGGGCCUAUAGCUCAGCUGGUUAGAGCGCACGCCUGAUAAGCGUGAGGUCGAUGGUUCAAGUCCAUUUAGGCCCAUUCAAAGCAAAAAAAGCUUUGAUAAAAGGCAAUGAUGGGGGCUUAGCUCAGAUGGGAGAGCGCCUGCUUUGCACGCAGGAGGUCAUCGGUUCGAUCCCGUUAGCCUCCAUUGAGACAUAAAGUCUCAAGGGUUAGUACAUUGAAAACUGAAUAUAAUCAAAAGCAAAAAACCGAGACAAUCGAAAAAACAGAUUGAAGAGCGACCGAGAAGAGAGAGAAACUCAACUUGAAAUAGGUCAAGUAGAAAAGGGCGCAUGGUGAAUGCCUUGGCACUAGAAGCCGAUGAAGGACGUGACGAACCACGAAAGGCUUCGGGGAGCAGUAAGUAAGCAAUGAUCCGGAGAUAUCCGAAUGGGGGAACCCAAUACCGCGAGGUAUUAUCAUUAACUGUUAAGGUUAAUGAAGGAAGACGCAGUGAACUGAAACAUCUAAGUAGCUGCAGGAAGAGAAAGAAAAAUCGAUUUCCCAAGUAGCGGCGAGCGAACAGGAAAGAGCCCAAACCAGCUGGCUUGCCAGUUGGGGUUGUAGGACUGCGAUAUAGUACUUGAAGUGAUAGCAGAAUUAUCUGGAAAGAUAAGCCAGAGAGGGUGAGAGCCCCGUACGCGAAAUUGCGGAGAGACUUAGCAGGAUCCUGAGUAGGUCGGGACACGAGGAAUCCCGAUUGAAACCGCGAGGACCAUCUCGCAAGGCUAAAUACUAACUAGUGACCGAUAGUGAACC
rnacentral:rRNA from 1 species